rnacentral:piRNA from 1 species
UUCAGCAUCAACUAACGAACAGUAGCCAAAC